GUGCAGUAGCCAGGAGGCCAAAAAGAGAGUAGACACAAACACCAGACCACAAGACCCAGCCACUGUAUGUGGACAGCCUUAGUUCCUGGACUGAUAUUUCUCACUUCUGGAGUGAAGGGAAAAUUAAACUGUACACUGAGGGAUGAGCGCCAUCCUGAAGAUCAGAUUCCCAAUCAACUGACGGACUGCAAACAGCUCCACACUGAGCUUCUGAUGGAAUUUCCAAAAAGGCUGUCUAUAUCCAAGACAGCUCCAAAGCUGCUAGCCCCAGGUGGUCCAGCCUCACAGACUGCUCCAAGAUGGCCUUCAUUUCCCUAGCCCCAGAUGGUUCCACAGAGCGUGGACAGCAAGUAAAACAGCCAGCACUCUCCUUUCUCUUUCUUCCUGGUCUUGGCCAGCAUUGCAGCUUUCUUGGGUCCCCAAAAAAGAUGCUGCAGUGUCAACAGGAAGGAAUCAUAGGAAAGAUCACAUCACUUCAUAUCUUUUAUUGUUAACAAAGAGGCCAGGAUGUUAGUAUCAAACUCCAGAAAAGUGGCUAACUGAGGUGCCUAUCAAAGUGGACCUGACCUCUAGGUUCUUCUAGCAUCCCUAAGUAACUACUUGUUAGAGUGUGUGGUUGACAUACCCUUCCCCUCUACCCUAGACUUCUCCAGUCCAGAAGCAGGGCUCACCUUCCCUAUACAGUCCUGCCAUUUUGGUUGUCUGGCCCUUUUUGCCUAUCCUUUGCCUUCCUUGGUCUCCUGGCUCUCCCCUCCAUGCUCUUCUCACAUGGCCUGGCUCAGGAUCAUGUUCACUCUGGACUCAGAUGUCUCUGCCUCUGGCUAUGUUCUCUCUUUUAUCUACAGUAAGCCUCCACCAUACCUGGGAGCAUUCAUGUCCUGCUUUUUUAUUUGUUAGGAAAGAAAAUUGUUUCCUUUCUUUCUCUUUUUCUCCCUCUCUCCUCUCUCUCUCUUUCUCCCCCACUCUCUCUCC